AGCUUUGUGCAGUGGCAGUAUUGUACCCAAUGAGGUUUAUCCCAGACACAAUUAUUGCUGAUUGAAAACUUUUCCCAGAAAGUAAAUUAUCAUUUACCAUCAGAUGUGUUCUAUAUGUUCAUUCUUUUGUGAUUCUGAAAAUUUA